AUGCUUGCUUCAACAGCACAUCAACUAAAAUUGGAACGAUACAGAGAAGAUUAGCAUGGCCCCUGUGCAAGGAUGACAUGCAAAUUCGUGAAGCGUUCCAUAUUUUU
ensembl:snRNA U6 U6 spliceosomal RNA